rnacentral:rRNA from 1 species
UGAGUGGCGAACGGGUGAGUAACACGUGAGUAACCUGCCCUCUUCUUUGGAUAACGCCCGGAAACGGGUGCUAAUACUGGAUAUUCACUGAUCUUCGCAUGGGGGUUGGUGGAAAGGUUUUUUCUGGUGGGGGAUGGGCUCGCGGCCUAUCAGCUUGUUGGUGGGGUGAUGGCCUACCAAGGCUUUGACGGGUAGCCGGCCUGAGAGGGUGACCGAUCACAUUGGGACUGAGAUACGGCCCAG